rnacentral:rRNA from 1 species
AUACGUACUGUGCGAACGUUAUUCGGAAUCACUGGGCUUAAAGGGUGCGUAGGCGGCCAGAUAAGUAGGAUGUGAAAUCCCCCGGCUUAACCGGGGAACUGCGUUCUAAACUGUUUGGCUUGAGUAAGAUAGGGGUGUGCGGAACUUCCGGUGGAGCGGUGAAAUGUGUUGAGAUCGGAAGGAACACCAGUAGCGAAGGCGGCACACUGGGUCUUAACUGACGCUGAGGCACGAAAGCUAGGGUAGCGAACGGGAUUAGAAACCCUAGUAGUCC